AUUAAGAUGUCUGAAUAAAAGUAAUAAACUGUAAAUUUAUCAAUGGAAAUAUAUUCCUCUUAAUA
rnacentral:tRNA from 1 species